GACGAACGCUGGCGGCGUGCCUAAUACAUGCAAGUCGAGCGCAGGAAAUCGACGGAACCCUUCGGGGGGAAGUCGACGGAAUGAGCGGCGGACGGGUGAGUAACACGUAAAGAACCUGCCCUCAGGUCUGGGAUAACCACGAGAAAUCGGGGCUAAUACCGGAUGGGUCAUCGGACCGCAUGGUCCGAGGAUGAAAGGCGCUUCGGCGUCGCCUGGGGAUGGCUUUGCGGUGCAUUAGCUAGUUGGUGGGGUAAUGGCCCACCAAGGCGACGAUGCAUAGCCGACCUGGGAGGGUGAUCGGCCACACUGGGACUGAGACACGGCCCAGACUCCUACGGGAGGCAGCAGUAGGGAAUCUUCCACAAUGGACGAAAGUCUGAUGGAGCAACGCCGCGUGAACGAUGAAGGUUUUCGGAACGUAAAACUCUGUUGUAAGGGAAGAACACGUACGAGAGGAAAUGCUCGUACCUUGACGGUACCUUACGAGAAAGCCACGGCUAACUACGUGCCAGCCGCCGCGGUAA
rnacentral:rRNA from 1 species